rnacentral:lncRNA from 1 species
ACCUGGGUUCGGUAUAUUUUGUGUAGUUGCAUACCCCUUUAUAUCAUUUUUUGUAUUUUGAUGAUUAUAGUUGUAUUAAAUGAUGUUAGAAUGUAAAGAGUUCUAUUUUGGGGAACAUGUGAUGUAAAAAGAAAUGAUGCAAAGAAUGUAAAAGAAUUUAUAUGUUGAAUGCUUGUAUGUAGUUAAAAGUUAAUCAUAUUACUUGUAUGAUGUUUAGAAUAGUA